CCUACGGGGGGCGGCAGUGGGGAAUAUUGGACAAUGGGGGCAACCCUGAUCCAGCCAUGCCGCGUGUGUGAAGAAGGCCCUCGGGUUGUAAAGCACUUUCAGUGAGGAAGAACGCCUGGUGGUUAAUACCCAUCAGGAAAGACAUCACUCACAGAAGAAGCACCGGCUAACUCCGUGCCAGCAGCCGCGGUAAUACGGAGGGUGCGAGCGUUAAUCGGAAUUACUGGGCGUAAAGCGCGUGUAGGUGGCUUGAUAAGCCGGUUGUGAAAGCCCCGGGCUCAACCUGGGAACGGCAUCCGGAACUGUCAAGCUAGAGUGCAGGAGAGGAAGGUAGAAUUCCCGGUGUAGCGGUGAAAUGCGUAGAGAUCGGGAGGAAUACCAGUGGCGAAGGCGGCCUUCUGAACUGACACUGACACUGAGGUGCGAAAGCGUGGGUAGCAAACAGGAUUAGAUACCCUGGUAGUC
rnacentral:rRNA from 1 species